rnacentral:rRNA from 1 species
UACAGAGGUCCCAAGCGUUGUUCGGAUUCACUGGGCGUAAAGGGUGCGUAGGUGGCAGGGUAAGUUUGAUGUGAAAUCCCCGGGCUUAACUCGGGAACUGCAUUGAAUACUAUCCGGCUUGAGGAUCGGAGGGGAGACUGGAAUUCUCGGUGUAGCAGUGAAAUGCGUAGAGAUCGAGAGGAACACCAGUGGCGAAGGCGAGUCUCUAGACGAUUCCUGACGCUGAGGCACGAAAGCUAGGGGAGCAAACAGG